ACAUACGGCCAUACCUGUGAGACAAUACCGGAUCCCGUCCGCUCUCCGUUAGUCAAGCUCGCAAGGGGCAGAUUAGUAGUUGGGUCGGUGACGACCAGCGAACACCGGCUGCUGUAUGUU
rnacentral:rRNA from 1 species